rnacentral:tRNA from 1 species
GUUAGGUGGCAGGCUGUAGUCCUGCAAACAUAGGUUAAAGCCCUGUUUCUAUCA